rnacentral:lncRNA from 1 species
CCUACACAAGCCUAUUAUGGCUUUCCUAAGUUUUGUAAGUGAGGACGAAGUCCCUAUGAGUUUUUUUGUUUUGCAUCUACUCUACUUUAGCAGCCAGGAUCCGGGUUGCAUUUCACUUUUUUAUACUCAAUCAUACACACCAAUCUUGUCAUAUUGGACUCCAAAAACCCUACACAAGCUUAUUAUGGCUUUCCUAAGUUUUGUAUGUGAGGACGAAGUCCCUAUGAGUUUUUUUUGUUUUGCAUCUACUCUACUUUAGCAGCCAGGAUCUGGGUUGCAUUUCACUUUCUUAUACUCAAUCAUACAAACCAAUCUUGUCAUAUUGGACUCCAAAAACCCUACACAAGCCUAUUAUGGCUUUCCUAAGUUUUGUAAGUGAGUACGAAGUCCCUAUGAGUUUUUUUGUUUUGCAUCUACUCUACUUUAGCAGCCAGGAUCCGGGUUGCAUUUCGCUUUCUUAUACUCAAUCAUACACACCAAUCUUGUCAUAUUGGACUCUAAAAACCUCACACAAGCUUAUUAUGGCUUUCCUAAGUUUUGUAUGUGAGGACGAAGUCCCUAUGAGUUUUUUGUUUUGCAUCUUCUCUACUUUAGCAGCCAGGAUCCGGGUUGCAUUUCUAUUUCUUAUACUCAGUCAUACACACCAAUCUUGUCAUAUUAGACUCCAAGAAUCCUACACAAGCUUGUUAUGACUUCUCUAAGUUUUGUAAGUGAGGACGAAGUCCCUAUGAGUUUUUUUGUUUUGCAUCUACUCUACUUUAGCUGCCAGGAUCCGGGUUGCAUUUUACUUUCUUAUACUCAAUCAUACAAACCAAUCUUGUCAUAUUGGACUCCAAAAACCCUACACAAGCUUAUUAUGGCUUUCCUAAGUUUUGUAUGUGAGGACGAAGUCCCUAUGAGUUUUUUUGUUUU